rnacentral:rRNA from 1 species
GACGAACGCUGGCGGCGUGCUUAACACAUGCAAGUCGAACGGAAAGGCCCUGCUUUUGUGGGGUGCUCGAGUGGCGAACGGGUGAGUAACACGUGAGUAACCUGGCCUUGACUUUGGGAUAACUUCAGGAAACUGGGGCUAAUACCGGAUAGGAGCUCCUGCUGCAUGGGGGGGGUUGGAAAGUUUCGGCGGUUGGGGAUGGACUCGCGGCUUAUCAGCUUGUUGGUGGGGUAGUGGCUUACCAAGGCUUUGACGGGUAGCCGGCCUGAGAGGGUGACCGGCCACAUUGGGACUGAGAUACGGCCCAGACUCCUACGGGAGGCAGAAGUGGGGAAUAUUGCACAAUGGGCGGAAGCCUGAUGCAGCAACGCCGCGUGCGGGAUGACGGCCUUCGGGUUGUAAACCGCUUUCGCCUGUGACGAAGCGUGAGUGACGGUAAUGGGUAAAGAAGCACCGGCUAACUACGUG